rnacentral:lncRNA from 1 species
UUCUUUUGGGCUGAAGGUUUUAUCUUGCCACAAGAACUAGAUUUGCCCAGGGUUCGUAGUUUAUAACAAGGGGCACGCUAUUUAUAAUGCACGAUGGGUGUUUAACGUGUUGGAAGAAGAAGAUAUUGCCCAAACCACUAGGUGGAAUAUCAGUAGGAGGCCCACAUACUUCCCUUAUUCAUACGAAACACGGCACAAUUUUCAGCAAGACCGCAAACGUCAAGUAAGGGUGAAAUGGACAUACAUGUUUUUUGCUCAGAAUCCAGUUAAUUAUUCCAGCCAUGUACCUAGAAGAAUCUCAAAAGCUUUUAUGUUUGAUGCUGGUCCAUGCACCCAUGUUGGAGAAUCUGGUAUGUUAUAGCACCUAUUCCAUCUAUAAGAUAGCGAGAUAUGGUGUCCAACUGUUGGAUUUGCUUGAUUAUGAAGAUAUUGAGAAACAUCAAAAUGUCUCAUUAGCUUCUGUUGCUAACAAGCGGCAACUGUUGAUCCACAGGAAAAAAGAAGGGUGACAAUCGUUGGUGUCUUUUGUUCUUCACUUUUUCCAUACAUGUUAAGAAGCAUCCAUACAUGUGAUGUAUCAUGCAUCAUUAUCUGAUCACGGAACAGUUCUGUUAUUCCGGUAAAAGGACCGAUACAUUUGCUCACCAUUCGUAACGAGCAACUGCAUUUUUCUGGUAAAAUUUAUAUUUAUUAGAUAUUCUGAUGCUGCUUGUUAAGCUCUAACUAAUGUAAUGAUCCCGAGUAAAUGUUCUUAUGAUAACUUACUGAUUCAUGUUUGGUUUUCCUCUUAUUAAUUUGUGUGUUUCUUGCCAAUGCAACCAAAAGACCGAUCUGAUGGAAGAGACUAGUCAAUGCAUCAACACUCCCCCUCAAGACCUCUUGGCUCUGAUACCAUGUAGAAGUGGGUGCUCUAGCCAAUGCAACCAAAAGACCGAUCUGAUGAAAAAGACUAGGCAAUACAACAACAAUGAGCAUUCUGUGGUUCUCUUGCAGUGCGAAUUGUCACUCAUGGAAUGAUUCUUGUGGCUGUUUCGCACGAUCAUAUGUAAUCUGUCUGCUGUUUCGCAUGUUGGUUCACAUGAUCAUAUGUAAUCUGUCUGUUGUGCACGUUGUAUAAUGCAACCAGUGUUAUUGUCAUUGAUGAUAGAAUAUGCUGUAGAAUACCAGUAAUCCUGAAUAUGUGCUAAAGUUGCCACGCUACGUAUAAAAUCUUCAACGACAAGCAUUUGAUUCCAAGAAAAGGCGACUGUCAUGCAGAUAAGCAUACAUUAGAGGUUGAGCAUCUAUUUCGUGUGGAGGGUGGAUGUUGCGUAAUUGCUUGUGUUUUUUCUUUCUUUUCGUG